CGUAGGGUGCGAGCGUUAAUCGGAAUUACUGGGCGUAAAGCGUGCGCAGGCGGUUCGUUGUGUCGGUGGUGAAAUCCCCGGGCUCAACCUGGGAAUUGCAUUUGUGACUGCCCGACUAGAGUGUGUCAGAGGGGGGUAGAAUUCCACGUGUAGCAGUGAAAUGCGUAGAGAUGUGGAGGAAUACCGAUGGCGAAGGCAGCCCCCUGGGAUAACACUGACGCUCAUGCACGAAAGCGUGGGGAGCAAACAGG
rnacentral:rRNA from 1 species